rnacentral:rRNA from 1 species
GCAAGACGGAAAGACCCCGUGAACCUUUACUAUAGCUUGACACUGAACAUUGAGCCUUGAUGUGUAGGAUAGGUGGGAGGCUUGGAAGUGUGGACGCCAGUCUGCAUGGAGCCGACCUUGAAAUACCACCCUUUAAUGUUUGAUGUUCUAACGUUGACCCGUAAUCCGGGUUGCGGACAGUGUCUGGUGGGUAGUUUGACUGGGGCGGUCUCCUCCUAAAGAGUAACGGAGGAGCACGAAGGUUGGCUAAUCCUGGUCGGACAUCAGGAGGUUAGUGCAAUGGCAUAAGCCAGCUUGACUGCGAGCGUGACGGCGCGAGCAGGUGCGAAAGCAGGUCAUAGUGAUCCGGUGGUUCUGAAUGGAAGGGCCAUCGCUCAACGGAUAAAAGGUACUCCGGGGAUAACAGGCUGAUACCGCCCAAGAGUUCAUAUCGACGGCGGUGUUUGGCACCUCGAUGUCGGCUCAUCACAUCCUGGGGCU